rnacentral:misc_RNA from 1 species
UGAGCUCAGCUAGAAUCCCCGGCAG